UCUUUAAUCUUUUUUUGUCAAGACUUUAACCCCAACCUUAAAAAUGAAAUAAACCCUUAAAUCACAAUGAAAAUACUUCUGUUGUCACAAUCAUGAGUUAGUCAAUUAUUCAGUUUAUCAAUUCACCUUUAUUUGUUUAGCACCUUUCACACAGAUGACAAAACUAAACAAGCAAAGAGAAAAAACUACGCUAAAACUAUGAUUAAAACUCAAAAACAUAUUUUAAAAAAAAGAUUUAACAUGGUAAUAAAAUGUGUUGUGUCCAGGGGAUGGAGGGAGUUUAUUGAAGUCUUCUUGGGCUCACAUGGGAAAUCAUUUAAAAUAUAAACUUGAUAUUCAGUCUAAGGAAACUGCAGAGCGACAGAAGAACCAACAAUAUCUCCUGUUUUCUCCUUUAAUGAGUUGAUUCUUCUUGUGCUUUCAGACCAAAGAACUACAGACUCUUCACAACCUGCUCAAACUCUUGGUACAGGACCUCACCACACGGGUCAAGAAGGUUGCUUUGUAGAACUGUUCCAGAAAACCUCACUAAACCACAUGGAGGGGCCUCAAGAUAGUCGUCCAAAUGAAACCAUACAAAAACCAAACUAGUACAACCUAAAUGCUAAAGUCUCCUGCAGCCUACCAGAGAACCUCUGAGAACAGAGAAUCAGGACAGGAACUCUUACCUUCUGGACAACCAACGAUGGUUCUCAAACAAGAAUACAGAAUGUGUCUGACCAAAAACCUCUGAAGACUCACUACAGCCAAGAUAAAGACACAACUCAGCUGUACCAAAUCCACUAAUCACUGCACACAUUAGCACCAUGUGCUAACUGUGGCUAAAGAACCACAUUUACCAAGACAACUAUCCAGUACAAAGCCCUAAAACACACCAAGAAACACAUUAAAGAUGAUUUUACUGCUGGAAGCUGCAAGCCAAUGCCUAAAGAACAACCUAAAGCAAUGGAGCCAAACCCAGUUCAGUGGUGAACAGAAGCAGAGAAAAUGUUUGUCUGCAGCUAAAUAAAGCAGGAAGACACUGAGCUGCUCAGGUGUUCCUGAUAACACCAAGCUGCUCAGGUGUUCCUGAUAACACCAAGCAGCCACCUGGACAGCCAAUAGGAACACAGCUUCCUGGAAGUCCAGAGGGCUGGGUUAGUGAAGGAAAUUUGAUUUAAAAUUGAAGCAGAAAGUUAAUAAAUGAAGUUGAAAACCACCUUCUGAUACCUGAAAUCUCUGAGUUUUCACACAAAGAACACCUGAACAUGUCAAACUGGUUUCAUAGUAGAACCAUCAUUGUAAAAAUAUCAUAGUAUGGUGUGUUGCUCAAAAAACAUUAGGACCUGGCUGUCAGGGGACAAACAUGUAAGAAACAUGAGAACAGAGAGAACCCAACCAGUAGGUCACAGUUUAUCAUCCCCCAGUCAUCUCCUGAAGUCCAUAUGGUGAGAGACAUCAGUAUCUGGUUGUUCAUUUACCAGAGGAUGCUUAUAAUCAUGCUGAUGUGGUCUGUACUCUACAGUAUUUUAGUGACUCAAUAAAUGCCUAAGUUGUUUUUUUUUUUAAAUGCUUUUCAGUUUUUAAUAAACAUUUAAGAGCCUAUAUGUAAUCAAUAAAUGGCCUUUGCCUAUCUUAAGAAAAAUUCACUCAGAACUCUGAUAUGUUAACAGUACUAAAUAAAUCAAUAAAUACAUGCAUACACACAAAAAUAAGUUAACACAUUAACUGUGUUAAGAUAAGAUUUAGAUUUUAAAAAAAGUUGUUUAUGUUUUUGCAGAAUCCAGUAUUGCUCACUGGUUGGUCAUUACAUUUUGUUAGUUUGAUUUCACUGUUUAAAAUGAUGCCACCUCUUUUCAGACAGAACCUGUGAUAAUAAAACAAUACAAAAUUUUUAGUUCCGUGUUAAUAAAGCACUUAAAGCUUUAAGUAUGGCUAAAUGCUUUUUUCAAAAUUAAAUAUAUCACUCCUUAGGUGGUAGUGGCCCCAAGUUCAGUAAAGUUGGAAAGAUAUUCACAGAUUCAGACUUCCAGCAUCAAUAACUCAUUAGAUAUAGGUUGUCAAAACAUAAACGGUGCCUCUUUCCCAUUGUUGCAAGGCAGACAAUGUGCUACAAGCCCAGUUUUAUCAAAAGUAGCUGUCUUUCAAGCUACAGGAAUAACAUUGGUGUCUAUGGAGUGAACAGGGUCCGUCUGCAAUUUGCAAAAACGCUGCAACAGUAAAGAGAGACAAAUAUUCAAUAACUUCACUCUUAUACAUUGUAGUGUCACUAAAAUCACUGCAGCCUUCAACUGGCUCCUGUUGACAAAGUGUUUUAACAGAAAUGUAAAUGCUGUAAUUUGAUUCUUUUAAUAAACCAUGUAACUUGAAUGGA